rnacentral:rRNA from 1 species
AUACGGAGGAUGCGAGCGUUAUCCGGAUUUAUUGGGUUUAAAGGGAGCGUAGGUGGGAUAUUAAGUCAGCUGUGAAAGUUUGGGGCUCAACCUUAAAAUUGCAGUUGAUACUGGUUUCCUUGAGUACGGUACAGGUGGGCGGAAUUCGUGGUGUAGCGGUGAAAUGCUUAGAUAUCACGAAGAACUCCGAUCGCGAAGGCAGCUCACCGGGCCGGAACUGACACUGAUGCUCGAAAGUGCGGGUAUCAAACAGGAUUAGAUGCACUGGUAGUCCGCACAGUAAACGAUGAAUACUCGCUGUUUGCGAUACACGGUAAGCGGCCAAGCGAAAGCGUUAAGUAUUCCACCUGGGGAGUACGCCGGCAACGGUGAAGCUCAAAGGAAUUGACGGGG